AAGGCCAUCGCCUGGUCCCCGCAUCAGCACGGGCUGCUGGCCUCGGGGGGCGGCACAGCCGACCGCUGUAUCCGCUUCUGGAACACGCUGACAGGACAACCGCUGCAGUGUAUCGACACGGGCUCCCAAGUGUGCAAUCUGGCCUGGUCCAAGCACGCCAACGAGCUGGUGAGCACGCACGGCUACUCACAGAACCAGAUCCUUGUCUGGAAGUACCCCUCCCUGACCCAGGUGGCCAAGCUGACCGGGCACUCCUACCGCGUGCUGUACCUGGUGAGUUCACGCCAGGCACUUCAAGGUGCCCCGGGAUUCUGGACAAACUGCCAUGGCCACCCCAGAGCACCCUGUCCUGUGUUCUUAGGGAGGAUGGUGUGCAGAUCUAAAACCCCGUGGGACCCAGCACCGGGGCUGGCCGGCAGGGCUUCUGGUGCUGGUUGUGUUGCCAGCGUUGGAAUGGGCUCUACCGAACUCCCCAGCCCUGCAGGUGCAGGCCCUGUCCUCCUAGCUUCUUCAUUUGUUUAUUUUCCCCAAAAAGAGGGGUGAAGAGGAAAGCCAAAACCAACUCACAGCUGACCACUCAGAUGACCCUGUGAACGUCCUACACAGUAACUGUAUG
rnacentral:sRNA from 1 species